CCUUCGGAGCGUUAUAUCAAAUGCGAGUAGCCGUUGGGCUUGCUCAGGGCGAAAGCAGACGCGAUGAAUUAGGAA
rnacentral:sRNA from 1 species